CAUCAACACCGUAUCAUGAUUACAACUUCGUCUACUCUGCCAAAAAUAUACACUUGGUCGUUGGUAAACAGGUUCAUCGUCGCACCAACCGAUCAGCGUGAUUAUGAAUGACAUAGCGGUUGAAUCUCUUUGCCUAAACGCGCUGUCUUCGAUUCUAACGUGCCACUGCAAACCACCCCCUUUACGCCCGCGCGCCAUGUUCCUGAUUUUCGAAGGAAGCGAUUGGUGGCAGCACCGCAAACCACGAGACGCCAGCAGAGGGUGGUGACGAAGGGUCGCGGGGGUAAACUCCGCUGAGAGAGUGGAACAGGGGCAGUGGGAUAACCCCGAUUAGUAGAUUGGUAGAAGGUGCGCGAGCAUGUCGACACGUCUAUCUGAUAAUAACUAACCUUCCUCAGCCACGCACGCAUUACCCGAUUCGUAAACAAUUCUCCAUUUCUCUCUCUCUUUCAUCUCCUCUUUUCAUUUUUCUUUACCACUCUGGCAAUGUUAAAUUAUUACAACUAACAAUAAGUAAUGUAAUUAACUAUUCUUUUUAAAUAUCGUUUUUAGAUAAAUUGCACUUUAGUUCAAUUCAAAUUAGCAUUUCAUUACUAUUUUUAAUUCUAGAUCAUUGAAAUUGAAAUUUGGUGAAAAUGAUAAAAUAGAGAUUCUUUCCCUGAGAAAGAAGAGACAUUAAAGCAGAAAUAAUAAUUAUCUAUACCGACUGUCUACUUAUUCUUUCUAUUCCAAAAAUAUAAGGAUUGAAUAAUGCAAUCGUUAAAAUUAAAGAGUAAAAUUCUGAACAUUCUAAUAAAUAUUUUCGUACCUUGAUAAAAUAACAAUAAAAAAAUAAGUUAAAAAAUUGAAAAAUUGUUAUACUAUCAAAAGAAACGUAUUUCCAUCCGAAACAAAAGACGAUUAGGCAAUUGUCUAUCGCAAUUACAAUGGUGCCGACUGAUAACAAUCAGUUACUGUUCAUAUCUACUUUUAUCCCCCAAAACAUUUUAGUCCAUGAGCAAGUCGCGGGGUGGCAGCACAACGCCAGCUGAUUACACACGUAGAGAAGAAAAUAGGGAUGAAACGCUCAGUUGGGGUGAAUAUAGAAUGGAGGAAAAAGCUUCCCGAAACACAGAAUGGAACAGCCGGUGGUUGGCAAGUUUGCAACGAGUGAAACACGUGGUUGAACUUAGACCUCGCUGAUCGAGUUGGCGAUCAGCCAAUUUAUUCGGCCCAAGUUCGCCUUUAACCACUGCAUCUGAUCACGCGGAAGAUAAAUGUGGUUAACCUACAGGAUCGAACCAGACCUUCGUGUUUGCCAUUCAACCUUUCCGCUGGACGGUCAUAUAUCUUAGAUUUUCCUUUCGUUACAAGUUCCCAUCGACAUUCGCUAAAAUGCACGUCUAUCUACUCGACUGUAUUGCGAAAACAUUAAGAGCUAUUGAAAAAAGAGAUUAUAUUCUCUCGUCUAAGUUUUUUUAAUCUACCCUGAGAAAAAGAAUUGUAAGGAACUCUUCAGCCGACAGCUGCAAGAUGGCGGUAUCACGAGGCGCCGCAAGGCGCCAUGACCACUUGGUCAAUACCAGAAAAUGAGGUUCACCUGGCACGCUAACCCCGAUUCAAAGGCGGAUGCGAUUCCGUGCAAUUGUUAUAUUGUCCUGCACGAAAAUAAAACUAAGUUGUUUGCGGAAAUGUUCUAAUGGAAUACGAGUACAUAAUUUUCACAGUUGGUAAAAGAGAUUGUUACUAACACAACACGUUAACGAAUCGAUACUAAAAUAAUAGAAUAAUUCUAAUCAACUGAAUCAACGUGAGAGUGAAAUGUAUGAAACUGUGGAAACUUCACAGAAAAUGUACAUUUAUGUUCUUGUCUAGUAUUAAUUAAUGAGUAGUCAGUGUUUCAAAGAUAUUUGUGAAAUACGAGUGUGAAAAUUCGAUAAAGUUAGCACAAAAAUUUUUUUAAUUAUUUGGGCAUACUAUUGAAUUGAAAAAUAAAAUGUAAGACGUAAACCUGUAAGCAACUUUCAGUAGUACAAAGUCAUUCACGUUGUCAAUGUACUCUGUAAGUAGAACUCGUAUAAGUCAACCUUCGAUCGUUACAGUCGUAGAACUCUUGGAAAAGAUAACACUAUUCUCUUUAACUUUUAUACAACUAGAGCAAUUUCAUUGACUUUACUGACUCGCAUCGCUAAAAUCUCGGAAUGUUCAUGGUUUACUCAGAGUUAAGAACUACUCUGUCCUAUUCAGUCUACAAGCGAUUGGACCAAAAAAGUACUCUCUCGUGCUAGAGUGCUACUCGAAGUGAUGAGAGCGAGCGCUACAAGUCUCUUUGAUGUAUCCCGACUAACUCGACUAAAACCUCAAGCAGAAAGAAAUAAUCGAUCAGGAGAGUCUCUUAAAUGUUAGAGCCUUUGGAGUACUAUUAGCUGCUCAAUAGAGUGAGAAAUGAAUUUCUUUCAUGGUAAAAGUAAAUCAUGUUAUCCUAUCCUCGCGCACAUGCUUCCUCGUGUCGCUUAAGGAAAUUAUAACAGCCACACUUUACCCAACUAUUUAUACGAUAAUCUUCUCAUUCAUCUAUCUGCAAAUAAAUCUUCUGCACGCAAGAACCUCAAAGUGUCUCCUUCCUAACAUACUCUCUUCACUCAUGCCACCUGAAGAUAUCACAUAGUCACCGAGUGCCCGCAAUCACACAAUCAUUCCUGCUGAAGAUUCAUCUCAUACAGUCGUUUACUCUCGUACCAAUCGCUUCCUCUACCCACCCGUCGUCACGUGACGGAGAAAUCUGUCCGAAGAUGAUGCGUGUGCACCAUCCACGAGUUUCCUCACGAGCUUUUGGCCCUUCGUCUAGGUCAACUUCGCGCGAACGUUUGCACGUAUAUAAUCGUGUGGCAAGCGAUUGGUUUGGUAUCCUCGGAGAUGCAGCUUCUGCAGACUCGGCCAAUCACUGACGCGAAUGGUAGCACGGCGUCGGUAUGACUGACUUCUCUCUCCUGACCCGUCGUGCAUGACCUGCACAACUUAUGGCAGGCAACCACCCGAAGGCGUAUCCGUGGUUGGUCAGCCGGUUGGCCGUUCGCUUCCUUUCUUUCUAAUUCGCUACCGCAGUCUCGCAUGUGUAUUCGUGUCUCGCCGAUGUCGUGCUGUGUCGUGUCGUGAACGCUCUCGUCAGCGACGUAAGCCGGGCUUCAGGAAUUGGAACGCGCCGGUACCGCCAAUGAGAUAAUGCAUUCGUCUUCGAUUUAUGGCGGUUCGAUGCGCUACGUAGUACUAGAUGCAAACUAGUUGUGCAUUCAGCCGCUGGAAGCACGUCUAGAAAUCCUUCUUUAGAAUCUCUAAAAGAACUCCUUCUUCGAUACAUUGAAUGUACCUACAUAACAAGCGAGAUAAUCUCACUUGUGCGUGCGUGUACUACUCUCAAGCCUGAGUCAAUAAAAAAGGCAGCUCGGAACACUUAAAAUCUUGCUUAUUCUUUUUUCAUAUUUCGGAGAAUUUUGAUUUAAUUGUAUCAUCUGCCUCGCUCCCGGCAAAAUUCCCAGAAUCUUUACGCAUCUUCUGGUAUUUCGCUGAGAGUUCUCUCAAAAGGAGGCCAUGGUCCCUGGGAUCUACGACAAUUAUUGUCAAGAAUAGAUUUCAACUUAUUCAUAGGGAGCCAGCUAAUCGGCGUAUUAUAAGCCAUUGCCGGCACGUAAAAGGAAGCUUUGGAAAUGGUCGGGGUUGACCAUUUAUGGAACGGCACGCCGCGACGUACGCUUCGUAGCCGAGUCGGUGACCCUAGAUCCGUCCUGCCCUAGUAUUCUAGUGCGGCCGUCGGAUAUGCACGACACGUUAUGCGUCGAUGGUGACGCAGGUGACGCGCGGACGAGAUGCAUUGAUACGUCAACUUUAUACGAGACAUAUCGAGCGUGAGCUAUAACGAAAUGCAAAUAAACGAUACGCAACAAAAAUUGGAUAGACUCAAUUUCAGUUUUUUAUUUUAUUCUUAUCUUUAUCUCUUUUGGUUUUAAUUUGACGUAUUUAUUAAUAAAAAUUCUGCAUCUUUUUGGAAAAAUAUUUAAAUUGCGAGGACGUGUAUGACGUACAAGUAUGUCGGAUGAAUAAAUGCGCGUUUGAAGGAGAGCGAAGCUAGAACAUCUCGAUUACCUGCAGGCAAUUUCCGACCUGGGUCAAUAUUGGGUUCACUUGCGCCCCUUUUCUCAGGGUGGUUUUUGUCAAAGUUCUAUUCAACGUAUUUGCGAUGCUAUUGUUUACAGGCACGGCUGCAAGUAAAUUAAAAAUUAGCUCAAAGAAGUACUUUCUUCAUAAGAAUCUAAAGUUAAAGUAUAUUACGCGUUAUUAAUUUCUCGCUUAACGAAGAAACAAUAAUAGCUUAUUAAGCUCAUAAUUACGAAAAGAAGUUUAAACACAAUUUUCUUUCACUUAUGCAUCAUCUUUAGAAUUACAAAUUUAACCAUCGACCAAAAGUAGCUUGCCAAAUUGUCGAAUCAACUUGUCGAAAGCCUGUGGCUGAAUGAAUCCACGCGGUGCUCCGGUGGUCCUAAAUAUACUUCACUCAUCUAUUUUAAUUCGUCGUUUAACGAGCGCGAAUACACUUUCAUCUAUGAAUAAAGCAUCAUUAAUUUGAAGCGAUUUAUUCGCGCAGCGCUCGAUACGUCGAUCUUCUUCCUUCGACACGUCAAUAAAAGCCGCCGACAAAGUAUGCAAAUAAAUUCUUCGAAAGUGGGUCAUAGCUGAUAUUUCCAAAUUGCUGCGCGAGAUAUCGAUGUAAAUUUUAAAGAAGUAUCUUUUCAGAUACAGCACAAGAGCAGACAAAACUGGAACUGUAUCAAUUUAAAAGUAAUGCGGUAUCUUUACUCAUGUUUGACAUUAUAAUCCAUAAAUAUCGAUUUUGCUCUGUUAUAUAUAGCUCGUUAUUCGUUAUCUGUUAUUUUGCUCGUAUCUACUUGUUCCAAACCGUAUCACUACUUAAUAUACAAGUAUAAAUAACGGUUGAUAUCGAAAGACAAGUUUUGUUAUCUCAAUGUUUUUCAAAAGAUUCUUACAAUUAGACCAAACUUUCGACUUGCUUGCUUAUCGACUUCCACGAGUUUGCGUCAGAUGGCACGAGCUUGUCAGAACAAGUUUAUUGGACGUUCGAUUUUAACGUAGUCUAACUUCAACAGCUAUUUCCAAUGUUUAGCACAUGUUAAAGUGAGAAAAGGUCAACCGGUGUUGUACGAUAGAUCAGAUUAUAAUCUUUGCGAAAAAGAUUAUCAGACAAUAUUUAUGAAACAAAAUUUCGCAAUCUAUAUGCAUCAGUUUUCAUAAGUUUUCUUUCAGAUUUUAAUACAUCCUACUGGCUGAUUUAUCUCAUAGUAUCUCUUAUGUGGCUAAUUUUGUCGCAAAAACAUUCUGAGUUUCAACAUUUUAGAUAAAAUGCACAUGAUACAUGAAACUUAUAAUAUUCUCAUCGUUAGUUAAUGCAAAAGCAAUUGUUUUGUGGUAUAUCACAUAAUGCAAAGACGAAGACAAUGAACAAUAUUGAUUCUCAUUUGUCAAUCGAUUUCCUUCUACGGAAUGCAAUCUAACUUGCGAAUUGUUCGGUGCGGAAACAAGUGUUCUGUGGUUCGAACAAGGGAGGAAGUAGGUGGAUAAUUAGUAUUAGCGUCAGACAACCAUUACCUUCUCCCACGCUCGGGUGAUUUCCGUCUGCGGCGUGGAAAUAUCCUCAUCCCGAGAAACGUGCUUCUGAUACCGGCGUGCAUCGUAGCGAUCUAUAAUCGUCAACACACCUGAGAUUGCGAAAGUCUUACGAUCUAGUUCUCGACAUGAACAUCCGUCACAUCAUGAUCUUCGCACUCGACGAAUCUUCAUCGUCAACCACCUCGAACUACGCUCGCAAAUCGAGAAAGAAGUCUUUACAACUCGAAUCAAUUUUAUGUGGAUGGAAGCUGCAUCAUUAAUCAACUACACAGAUCGAUCACGAGCUCUGAAGCCUCACGUUUCGCACAUGCACAGCCAUUAAACUUCUACGAACCAUGAUGUAAGUUUCACUAAACUUCCUCGCACUUAAGCACAUGAAACGCUCAUUACACGAUAAAUCGCAUCGACCGCAUAUUCGAUUUCCUUCGUCAAAUUUAAGCCAGAUCUUAAUCGUUCGAUCUCUUGUCACGUGCGUAUAUCGAGCCUCCGCCAUCAAACGACGGCACUAAGCACGAUUACGCUCUCCAAAAAGCAGUCUACUAGUGGAGACACUUUCACAGACGAGCAUCUCGAUGUUAAAAAUACACCACGAGCUUAGUACGUUUCCGAAUCGGCGACUUGCCGGCGUUUCGGCUGAACGUAAAUGCCUAUCGGUAGCUGAUAAUUAUUAAUAAAGAACGGGAGUUAAUUACUUGAAGAAUAAUAAAAUUUCGCGCAUCUUACGUAGAAAUUAUUGUGCAUGUCACUCUUAUGCGGAAAUAAUGCUUUAAUAUAAAGCACAACUGAACAAAACAAUGCGUUAUCUCAUCUUCUUUCCGAAGACAAGUUUUCCAAUUACCCGCGACUCAUGUACGGAGAUUCUCAAUUCAUCAUUCAUCUCUUGUUCUCGUUUUUCCCACCCGUUCCUCUAUUUCUAUCUAUAUCUACUGUCCUUAAUUUACUUCGAGUGACACUGAACCAAGCCGCCAAACGGGAUCUCCCAAAUUGCAGGAAUCGACCGUGGUCUUCGUGCGCCAGAUCGCGAUUAGGUUUAAUUAAUUUCAUUUACAGGGACGAUCUAAUGGGAGAUGAGGCGCAGGAAACUUAGAUGAUAUUGCAAUAAACCGAGACAAGCUAAAGUGCAUAGUUAUCGGCCACUUAAGGAAUAUUGGCAUCUUCCCGCGAAAUUGUUUAAACAUGUACGAUCUAUCGAAAAUAUCGUACUCGCUGCGACAUCGUGAUAAAAGUCUCGCUGAUUUAUAAGUGAGAUUAUAUAAAUGCCAUGCCGUGACUUUUAGCUGGGCGGCGCUUAUGCGAAGUCGAACUUCCUUGAGUUUCUCUUCCUUGACCUAUACUAUCUGAUGCAAACCGCGCCGACAGCACGUAAAAAAAUUUGGACGCCAUAACGUCCCGGCGUCACGAAACAUUUUAAAGAAGAAGCCUGAUCGCAAAGUUUUUUUCACGGAAAUGAGCGCGCGUGUCUAAUAACAUAUGGUAUCAAUCAAGAAAAAGAGCUUAAUUUACCCCAUACUAUUUAUCCCAUACAACGAGAAACGUUAAAUCCUAUUAGCAAGAUGCCGAGAGAUUUUACAUGUAAUUAAUUGUAAAAAAAGACUCGAGAUCCGAUCAUGCUCAUAGGCAGAUAUUUGUAGGUCAGUAUGGUACCCUAGAACGCGUUCCUAGCGCUCGCGUUAUGGUGGGCGGAGUGACAGUUGGUGUAUUUUGGAAACGAAGGUAAUGCCUGGCCUGGGAACGGCUAAACAACGUCAGGCCGCUCGCCAGAAACUGCAGCGGGUUAAGUAUUCGUGCGACAUCAUCUUUUCGCUAUAAAUAUCUAAAACUUCUUACGACCUCACAUCAAAAAUUUUUAUUCGUGGCUUUUACGAGCGUCUACGAAAUAUUGUCGUUAACAGGCACAAGCAUUUCUCCACGGUACAUCUUCGAUAUUUCAAAAUGGAAGUAUGUCACGCUGAUAAGGUACCUGCAUCGAGCAAAAUUAACGCCCGAUUCAUUUUAUCGCUUGCUCUCCCUCGACACGAACAAUUGAGAGUUAAUCGUGCAAAUAUGCAUGGUUGCCGAGGAUGCAACACGUUCUACACAUUCCUAACAUGCUGAAUUCCGGUCUAAUUGAGGCACGACACAAAUACAAGCUUUCAUCGGCUCAACUUUCAAACAAACUUGAUUUGCAUAAAUUUACAGCUUUUCCGGUUGACCUCUCAUUUAUCGACGACUACAAGUUGGCGGUAGUUCACGCGGAAUUCUUAAGAGCAUAAGAUGAAAGUAAAGAUAAAAUUAGAUCUCUAUCUACGGUUCAGCAAGCACGAAUGGUCUCUAAUUUGCGUAAAUUUCUGAAAGAAGAUUGAAUUUGAACAGCGGAUUUCUUAUUAAUCGCUUGUAAAAUUGAGUGGAUGAUAUAUUUAACUUACAGAAGCUGUAUUGUGAGAGAUCAUUUGCUUUACGCAUUGACGCAAUGCAGGUAGAAGGGACCUCACAAACGGCACGUACGCGUAAACAUGAAAUUACCCCCGUAAUUUCUGCCAGGGGCAAGAAACUCAGAAUUUGGUCACGUGUGUGCGAUGAUGACGUUAGCCGGAUGCAGUCGACGCGCGAUCGAUCGCGAUUCGAGGUGCGAUAGCUUUUCGCAUUUGAUACUUUCUGUUAUAUUUAUCGAAAAAAUAUGGAAUUUUUUCAAUCUCAGUUCAGAUUAAACGCUUUGCUGUAGA
rnacentral:lncRNA from 1 species